GUUUUAAACUGAGACAGGGAGGUUUAGGUUAGGUACUAGGAGGAAGCUUUGCACACAGAGGGUGGUGAUGCACUGGAACAGGUUGCCCAAGGAGGUUGUGGAUGCCCCAUCCCUGGAGGCAUUCAAGGCCAGGCUGAUGUGGCUCUGGGCAGCCUGGUCUGCUGGUUGGGGACCCUACACAUAGCAGGGGGGUUGAAACUCAAUGACCAUUGUGGUCCUUUUCAACCCAGGCCAUUCUAUGACUCUGCUUCUGCCACUGUGUGUACGGCCUGAGUGUAAGGUGGUCUUUUGCAGAGGUACAUCUGUGAUUAGGGCCUGGGUGGUCAACCCUAACUAUUUAUGCCAGCAACUGUACCUGCCAAAAGUGUGAUUCAAUUUCAGCGUGUAAGAGAGCAGCAGUGUCUUACUAACUUCUUAGACUUGUUAUUGAAGUGGAACGAACAGUGAACCUGCAUGCAAGUGCCUUCAUGUCACUGGCAACCUGAGGUAAAGGUAAGCAGCAGAGAAGCCCACUGGUGUUCCAUCAUAAAGAGAUUUCAGGAGCAGGACCAGGUAACUGCUACGGGGUAUUUGGAAAUGCAUAGACCGAGCCUCCAUUGCAGCGUGCUUCAAGAGCAGCAGUAUUUACUUCUCUCCUAGUUCUUCCCUGAGGUAGCUAAUGAGCUGUACAGUAAAAGUGCAUCUUCUGGCAAACUCCUGGAACGUUUUCCAUAUUUUUUCCAUUUCUGCUUCUCCGGCAGCUUCAGCUUUGUUAAACAAGGACACGGUGUGUGCUGCUGAGCUUUGGCAUAGCCCCUUCCCUUUGUACAGAUGGGGCUGGGACAGAAGGAAGGAUGUCGACCCUUUCCCCUCAGGGAGGGUCUGGACUGGAAUGCAGCAGCAUCUCCCCAGGAAUAGGGGGAAGCACUGAGGAACCUGCUUCAAGAGGUUGCGCACACUGGCAAUUGGAGGGUACAUUCAGACCAUUGUGCUUAUUAAGAGGAGUAAUCCCCUCUGCAGAGGUUAAAGAAAGUGGAAGCACUCUGAAAGGAUCAUGCAGGGUUAAAUCUACUGCUAGAAGACAAUGAUAACAAUGAUAAGUCAAGGCAUGGAGUUGGGUUCUUCAUAGGAGAGAGGCAGAAGCCCCAUGGUGGGAGAAUGGUGAGAGGGGGGCUUUGAGGAGGGGGUUUCUGUGCUGUGCUCACAGCCCUGCCCACCCCACACGGAAAGCAGGACAGCCCCAUGCGUGGUCCCUGAGCUGUGACCUAGCAGCUGGAUUGUCUUUUCAAACAAAUUACACAAAUGGCUUUAAUUGUAAGCCAGGUAAAGGGAUGACUGAUUAGUGCCAAGGAAAAGAACACCCUUGUUUAACAAAGAAGCAAGAAAUGAGGAUGCUAACCAUCUUUUAAAGUACCUUUUCUCCUAUAAGCGGUCUUUAAUUAAAGGCGUCAUUUAAAGUGUAUCUAACAAUGACUUCAGCUAGAAGAGCUGUUUACCCUUACAUAACAACCAGGACAGAGCAUGUUGAACGUACAGUCAUCACACGGGCUCUAAUAGAUGGAAACCGGCGCAGCGCUGAACAGUUUGUUCUGAUCAAGAGUUCUCAGUCACGGUCAGCCAAUUCUGACAAUUACACUUAAUUUUAACUCAAUAAGAUUUGCUAUAUAUAACCCCAUACGUGGCUAUAAGAGGGCCCACGCUGCACCCAGCGGUGUUCCCACAGCACAGCUCAGUGUGCUCAGUGAGCUCUGCAGGGCUGGCAGCUCCGCACCCCCUGCUCUGCUCAAUGGCAGCGGGGCUCCUGGGGGAGCUGGUGCCACGCUGCUGUGCAGGUUCCUUCUGAUGCUUGGUGCAGGGGAAGUAAGUCCCUGAAAUCCUCUUCCCUUUUGUUUCUAAGAAGUCCCUUUUCUGUUGGUGAGAUUUGAAGUGCUCAGUCCUGAGCAGCGGCCGCCCCGAACCAAAUCACUCCCUGUUCCUUGAGGGACUUCUGUGCUUACGUAAGCUUACAAACUCUUGUUUGCUGUUCUGCUACUCCUUCAAGUAUUGAAUGGUGAGAAGUUGAACAACUUAGACUUGGCAUUACCAGCAGCACUGCACCAGGGCCUGCCCUCAUAGCUCCUGUGUGCUGUGACAGCCAGCACAGCCCCAUUCUGCAAGCACUUGUGUCAGCUGUUGCACACAGUGAUUGUCUUUUUGCUGGCAUUUGCCUACUGCAUCCUGACUGCAAAGCAGUCCUUCUAUAGUGAACACCGAUAAUAACAUUCCUCUCCUAAUCUGUGCACUGUUCUACUGCAGCCAAAUUUACUUUUAACCUUUAUGUCACCCAGCCAGAAUGUUAUGUAUGGUGAGAAGUGAGAAAGGAUGCUGGGUGCAGGACAGGGACCUCGUGACUCGCCUGGAUUCAGAGCCGAGCAAUGAGAUCAACAGUACAACCACUGACCUCCCAUUGUUCCCCUUGGCCAAUGGAAGGGCCCUGGCAGACGUGGGCUUGAGGACCUCUCAGGAAGCACUUCUGCAUUGCCUUCAGUAAUCGAUCACUUCUACACGUGGGUCACACUUCUUGUCCAAUGGAAGCACCAGCCAAGGCCCUUCCCUACUUGUAGGGCAGUGAUGCACCUGUGCUACCUCUCCAUCAAUUGCAUCCUUCACUCCAGCAUGGACACAGGUGGCUUUGAUUGGUGUCAGCUGGAGGCAAGGGCUGUUGAUGAGAGCAUGGCCUUGUGGAGGAGACAAGGGGAAGGGCUUUUCCCUUCUCCACUUUUUGCAUUGGCAUUAAUCGACCCUUACUGUUAAUGUGCUCUGUUGAUGCAUUUAGUGACGCAUCAGUAUUGCUGAAUCGGUGUUUGGUGUGGGUUUUUUCUCCCCUAGCUUUGGGAUUUGCCUCCUAGUCAGCAGUAGACUGUUUUGUCCUGCUCUGCUAUACCUGCACAUGACUUAAACCUUUUCCCUUGUUUUCACAGCUUCUGGCCCUGGCUGGGUGAAUCCUCACAGCAGUCGCUUGCAGCUGAGUACAGUGCAGGACAUGGAGGUGAUCUCCUGCCCGCUGAGCCCGCUGCCCACUCAGAGAUGAGGCCUGGUGAGAUUCAGGCUUCCCUCACUUCAUGAAUUCCUCUGUGCCCCUCAGGCUGUGCCCUGGAGGACAGCAUGGAGGACUCCUGGCCUCCCUGAUCCCACCGCAGCAGAUACAAGCAGAGAAGCUGUUCUGACGACGUGGGAAGAUGCCGUUUCUGAGGCAGCCAGGGCUCUCAGCAGCCUGCAUUAUUUCUGGCGGGACUGUCAGUUCUCCAAGCACCACUACCUCAUUUUUAACGCAGAUCUGUUGGAAGACAUUUGGUCCAUCCUGCUUUUGUCAGCCACGGGCAGCAAAGUAGCCAUGGAGAGGCUGUGUGGAGAGACCACCACUCCAUGCCCUGGAGCCGAUGCCAGCAGCAGCCUGCUGUGUGCGCCGGGGGACAGAGAGCCCCAGCAGGCAGCCCAGCGCCCCGGGGAGAAGCCCGACCCCCACACAGGCAGCACGUGGGGGCACCGCGCUCCCACGGAGGCCACCUGUCCGGCUGCACACGCACACGUUUACCUUUGCUGGGCCGUACUUGAGGCCAGCCGGGCAGCGCACAGCUGGUGAGGGCAGGCUGCAUUGAACGCCCGAAGCUGCAAGUGGAAAAGUCGUCGCCCCGGCAGUAGCGAGGUGAGUUUGUGCCAGCACAGAGCCUGGGGGCAGGCGGCGAUGGCUGAGUGCUGCUGGAGCAGGGCUCGUAAAGGUGGGCAGCAGCACUUCUGAGGCAGACGGGCGUCUGCGGAGAGCAGCCAGCCGAAAACGGGAGCCAGCCCGCCCGCUUUUCUCGUAGGAGCGGCGACACGCGUGUUUCCGUGAGAGUAACAGCACGAAGCACCGCCGCCUGUCCGAACUGCGCCUCCCCGGCAGCCCACGAGCACC
ensembl:lncRNA